GCUGUGCCGUUGUAUACAUAAGUAUCGACGAGGGAUUGCUGAAAUCCGUGGAAGGCGAGUACAGGUAGGAUCUGGACUCGCCGGGCCACGGCAACGUGGGAGUUCCGGCCGCCGACAAGGUUUGUCUCUCGUAACAUUGUUUUCCGAGAUGCCUUGUGCCGGGGCGGACUUUGGACAUAACGCAUAAGGGAUGGAGGUUAUGCAUCGUGUGGGAUAAGGCCUUAGCACAGACUUUUGCAUGACGCAUAACGCAUAACACAUAAAGAGAUAAACCAAUCAGAGUCUUUCAUUUCCAUCCCCACUCCUCACUUUACGAAUCUUGCAUAAUGCAUAAAACAUAAUGCAUAACGUGACGAAAAAUCCGUAAGGAUGAAUUUUUAUGUACUAUGCGGGGAAAGUCUGCAUAUUUGCUCUUGCUCCAACGCCUUCAAGUUCGACGCGUAAAUUCGUUCGUGAACUGCGCCAGGUGACAUUCAACAAACCUGCUGGUACAUAUUCCAUGCGAUUCAAGAUUUUUGCCUCGUCCUGGCUAUCACGUUGUCGCAUUGGAUAAAAAUUCAUCCUUACGAAUUUUUUGUCUCGUUAUCUGUGUAAACGAAGCUCGAAUCCUACGUGUAAAUUCACGAACUUCACCAGACUGCAUUCAACAGAUCUGCUGGUAUAUAUUUGCGAUGUAAGAUUUUUGCCUCAUUGUGGCUGUCACGGUUUUCUCAACGGACUACGGAGAUUGAAUCCAACGCAUAAAUUCGAUUGUCAGCUGCGCCAGGCGGCAUCCAAUAAACCUACACCAAUUCAUCAGUAUAUGAAUGAGAAAAAUAUGAAUGACGAGGAGUUUCUUAUUUUGUCUGUUCUGCAAUUGUGCUUAUUGGCUUUGUUACAACAAAGGAAUCGAAGAAAAAGAUGGUUAAAUCGGAGAUGGUGGGUGAGACCCAU